rnacentral:rRNA from 1 species
CCUACGGGAGGCAGCAGUAGGGAAUAUUGCUCAAUGGGGGAAACCCUGAAGCAGCAACGCAGCGUGGAGGAUGAAGGUUUUCGGAUUGUAAACUCCUUUUUUUAGAGAAGUUAAUGACGGUAUCUAACGAAUAAGCACCGUCUAACUCCGUGCCAGCAGCCGCGGUUAUACGGAGGGUGCAAGCGUUACUCGGAGUCACUGGGCGUAAAGAGCGCGUAGGCGGGAUAGCAAGUCAGAUGUGAAAUCCUAUGGCUUAACCAUAGAACUGCAUUUGAAACUGUUAUUCUAGAGUAUGGGAGAGGUAGGUGGAAUUCGUGGUGUAGCGGUAAAAUCCGUAGAGAUCAAGAGGAAUACUCAUUGCGAAGGCGACCUGCUAGAACAUAACUGACGCUGAUGCGCGAAAGCGUGGGGAGCAAACAGGAUUAGAUACCCGUGUAGUC